CUGAGAGACGGCUACCACAUCCAAGGAAGGCAGCGGGCGCGUAAAUUACCCAAUCCUGACACAGGGAGGUAGUGACAAUAAAUGACAAUGCCGGGCCAUCAUUGGUCUGGCAAUUGGAAUGAGAACAAUUUAAAUCCCUUACCGAGGAUCAAUUGGAGGGCAAGUCUGGUGCCAGCAGCCGCGGCAAUUCCAGCUCCAAUAGCGCAUAUUAAAGUUGUUGCAGUUAAAAAGCUCGUAGUUGGAUUUGUGGCUUACGGUGUGUUCCGGGCACUUGUUGUCUGAGUGACCUGCUGUUGCCAUCCUUGGGUGGAACCUGUGUGGCAUUAGGUUGUCGUGCAGGGGAUGCCCAUCAUUUACUGUGAAAAAAUUAGAGUGUUCAAAGCAGGCUUAUGCCGUUGAAUAUAUUAGCAUGGAAUAAUGAGAUAGGACUUUUUUACUAUUUUGUUGGUUUGCGUGAAGAGGUAAUGAUUAAUAGGGACAGUUGGGGGCAUUCGUAUUCCAUUGUCAGAGGUGAAAUUCUUGGAUUUUUGGAAGACGAACUACUGCGAAAGCAUUUACCCAGGAAUGUUUUCAUUAAUCAAGCACGAA
rnacentral:rRNA from 1 species